rnacentral:rRNA from 1 species
UAAACGACUCUYGGCAACGGAUAUCUCGGCUCACGCAUCGAUGAAGAACGUAGCAAAAUGCGAUACUUGGUGUGAAUUGCAGAAUCCCGUGAACCAUCGAGUUUUUGAACGCAAGUUGCGCCCGAAGCCAUUCGGCCGAGGGCACGUUUGCCUGGGCGUCACGC